rnacentral:rRNA from 1 species
CAAACACGCUGGCGGCAGGCUACACACGCAGUUCAACGCGCCUUCGGGUGAGCGGCGGACGGGUUAGUAACGCGUGGGAACGUGCCCACGAUCUACGGAACUAGCCACUGGAAACGGUGAGUAAUACCGUAUACGCCCUAUCGGGGGAAAGAUUUAUCGGAUUUGGAUCGGCCCGCGUUAGAUUAAGGUAGUUGGUGGGGUAACGGCCUACCAAAGCCUACGAUCUACUAGCUGGUUUUAGAGGAUGAUCAGCAACACUGGCCACUGACGACACGGCCCAGACUCCUACGGGAGGCAGCAGUUGGGUGAAUCUUGGACAAUGGGGGCAAACCUGAUCCAAGACCAUGCCGCGUGAGUGAAGAAGGCCCUAUGGUCGUAAAAACUCUUUCGCCUGUGAUGAUAAUUGACAGUAGCAGGUAAAGAAAACCCGGAUAAACAA